rnacentral:rRNA from 1 species
GACGGAGGGGGCUAGCGUUGUUCGGAAUGACUGGGCGUAAAGGGCGCGUAGGUGGUUUUUCAAGUCAGGCGUGAAAGCCCCGGGCUUAACCUGGGAACUGCGCUUGAUACUGGAUGACUAGAGGACGAGAGAGGAAAGUGGAAUUCCGAGUGUAGAGGUGAAAUUCGUAGAUAUUCGGAGGAACAUCAGAGGCGAAGGCGGCUUUCUGGCUCGUAUCUGACGCUGAGGCGCGAAAGCGUGGGGAGCAAACAGGAUUAGAUACCCUGGUAGUCCACGCCGUAAACGAUGAGUGCUAGACGUUGGGGGGUUACCCUUCAGUGUCGCAGCUAACGCAUUAAGCACUCCGCCUGGGGAGUACGGUCGCAAGAUUAAA